rnacentral:rRNA from 1 species
UACGAAGGGGGCUAGCGUUGUUCGGAAUUACUGGGCGUAAAGGGCUCGUAGGUGGCCAACUAAGUCAGACGUGAAAUCCCUCGGCUUAACCGAGGAACUGCGUCUGAUACUGGAUGGCUUGAGUUUGGGAGAGGAAUGCGGAAUUCCAGGUGUAGCGGUGAAAUGCGUAGAUAUCUGGAGGAACACCGGUGGCGAAGGCGGCAUUCUGGACCAAUACUGACGCUGAGGAGCGAAAGCCAGGGGAGCAAACGGG